rnacentral:rRNA from 1 species
GGAGUUAGCCGGUGCUUCUUCUGUGAGUGAUGUCCUUCCUGCCGGCUAUUAACCCGCAGGCCUUCUUCCUCACUGAAAGUGCUUUACAACCCGAAGGCCUUCUUCACACACGCGGCAUGGCUGGAUCAGGGUUGCCCCCAUUGUCCAAUAUUCCCCACUGCUGCCUCCCGUAGGAGUCUGGGCCGUGUCUCAGUCCCAGUGUGGCUGAUCAUCCUCUCAGACCAGCUACGGAUCGUCGCCUUGGUGAGCCGUUACCUCACCAACCAGCUAAUCCGACAUAGGCUCAUCCGAUAGCGCGAGGCCCGAAGGUCCCCCGCUUUCCCCCGUAGGGCGUAUGCGGUAUUAGCCUGGGUUUCCCCAGGUUAUCCCCCACUACCGGGCAGAUUCCUAUGCAUUACUCACCCGUCCGCCGCUCGCCACCAGGGAGCAAGCUCCCCGUGCUGCCGCUCGACUUGCAUGUGUUAGGUCGUCGCCGCCGACGCGUUCUACUACUCGAACCAACGAAUACAAACUUACUCGUA